rnacentral:rRNA from 1 species
UACGUAGGGUGCGAGCGUUAAUCGGAAUUACUGGGCGUAAAGCGUGCGCAGGCGGUUUGCUAAGACAGGUGUGAAAGCCCCGGGCUUAACCUGGGAAUUGCGCUUGUGACUGGCAGACUGGAGUGUGGCAGAGGGAGGUGGAAUUCCACGUGUAGCAGUGAAAUGCGUAGAGAUGUGGAGGAACACCGAUGGCGAAGGCAGCCUCCUGGGCCGUAACUGACGCUGAGGAGCGAAAGCGUGGGGAGCGAACAGG